rnacentral:rRNA from 1 species
CCUACGGGUGGCAGCAGUGGGGAAUAUUGGACAAUGGGGGGAACCCUGAUCCAGCCAUGCCGCGUGUGUGAAGAAGGCCCUCGGGUUGUAAAGCACUUUCAGUGAGGAAGAACGCCUGGUGGUUAAUACCCAUCAGGAAAGACAUCACUCACAGAAGAAGCACCGGCUAACUCCGUGCCAGCAGCCGCGGUAAUACGGAGGGUGCGAGCGUUAAUCGGAAUUACUGGGCGUAAAGCGCGCGUAGGUGGCUUGAUAAGCCGGUUGUGAAAGCCCCGGGCUCAACCUGGGAACGGCAUCCGGAACUGUCAAGCUAGAGUGCAGGAGAGGAAGGUAGAAUUCCCGGUGUAGCGGUGAAAUGCGUAGAGAUCGGGAGGAAUACCAGUGGCGAAGGCGGCCUUCUGGACUGACACUGACACUGAGGUGCGAAAGCGUGGGUAGCAAACAGGAUUAGAUACCCUGGUAGUC